rnacentral:rRNA from 1 species
CCUACGGGAGGCAGCAGUGAGGAAUAUUGGUCAAUGGACGAGAGUCUGAACCAGCCAAGUAGCGUGAAGGAUGACUGCCCUACGGGUUGUAAACUUCUUUUAUAAAGGAAUAAAACGAGUCACGUGUGCCUCUUUGCAUGUACUUUAUGAAUAAGGAUCGGCUAAUUCCGUGCCAGCAGCCGCGGUAAUACGGAGGGUCCGAGCGUUAUCCGGAUUUAUUGGGUUUAAAGGGAGCGUAGAUGGGUUGUUAAGCGAGUUGUGAAAGUUUGCGGCUCAACCGUAGCCUUGCAAUUGAUACUGGCAGUCUUGAGUACGGUGAAGGUAGGCGGAAUUCGUGGUGUAGCGGUGAAAUGCUUAGAUAUGACGAAGAACUCCGAUUGCGAAGGCAGCUUGCUGAACUGCCACUGACAUUGAUGCUCGAAAGUGUGGGUAUCGAACAGGAUUAGAUACCCCAGUAGUC